UACAGCCUUGCUGAAUUAUUCACCCUUGUCUUUUGCGUACUUCUUGUUUCCUUGGUGGGUUCGCCCACCACUAGGACAAACAUAAACCUUUUGUAAUUGCAAUCAGCGUCAGUAACAAAUUAAUAAUUACAACUUUCAACAACGGAUCUCUUGGUUCUGGCAUCGAUGAAGAACGCAGCGAAAUGCGAUAAGUAGUGUGAAUUGCAGAAUUCAGUGAAUCAUCGAAUCUUUGAACGCACAUUGCGCCCUUUGGUAUUCCAAAGGGCAUGCCUGUUCGAGCGUCAUUUGUACCCUCAAGCUUUGCUUGGUGUUGGGCGUCUUGUCUCUAGCUUUGCUGGAGACUCGCCUUAAAGUAAUUGGCAGCCGGCCUACUGGUUUCGGAGCGCAGCACAAGUCGCACUCUCUAUCAGCAAAGGUCUAGCAUCCAUUAAGCCUUUUUUUCAACUUUUGACCUCGGAUCAGGUAGGGAUACCCGCUGAACUUAAGCAUAUCA
rnacentral:rRNA from 1 species